ACUCCAUCUCUAACAAGAAAACUGUCGUGAAGACAUUUAGUAAGUGUCGGCUUCCACAGGUUUGGUCGGCAUUUUCGCCUGAAGCUCCUCUCAGUAGGCAGAACUUAAAACAAGCUCCUUGCCCGAGACUUGUUACAAGAAGAAAAAUAAGUAGUAACAUCAAGAUCAUUUCAGCAAGGAGACCCAGCAAAAGAAGGAGUGCAAAAACUUACCCACCUGCCUGCAUUUGGGAAUACGGGACACACAUCUCGGUGAGAUCAGAUAUUAUGUGGGGGAAGAGCAGGAGUGAGCCACCAGAAAACUGGCAAAUGCAUCUGCUUUUUCCGAUCGGGAUUGUGCUAUUGACUAGAUCUGUGCAAAAUUUCCCC